AAGUGCGGCCCUGGCGCUGGAACUUGCCGGCUCUUGUUUCUGGGGUUUGCUGGCCCCGGUGUCACCAAGCAAGAUCAAGGGUGGUGUAGGACCCUGGGGAGUUUUGUCCUGUUUCCCAGCGUCCUAACCCUCUGAAAGCCAUAGGGAGAAGGACCUGCGGCCUGGCUUUUCCCAUUGGGGAAAUUCAUUUCCCUAACGUGUUCGGUUUUGAAACGGCCCCUUUAUUGGGCGCAACUGAGUAAUCUGUCUACUGCCCUGUCCGGGCCAUCCAGUCCACCACAGCAAUUAGUUUUCAGGCAGCAAGAUGAUUUCUGGUGCCCAGUGCUUGAAAGCCCAAGAACGAAGGAGAAAAACCGCAGCUCUUACACCAAGAACCUUUGUCUCUGGUUUUAAGGCUCUGCACUCCUGGGAAUGGUGACCCUGGAUGAUUGGUGGAGCAACUCACUUCAAAGAGGAGCAAUUUUUAACAGCUGGAAACAAUAAACAGAGUGGGUGGUGAA